rnacentral:rRNA from 1 species
GGGAUUAGCUAGUUGGUGAGGUAAGGGCUCACCAAGGCGACGAUCCCUAGCUGGUCUGAGAGGAUGAUCAGCCACACUGGAACUGAGACACGGUCCAGACUCCUACGGGAGGCAGCAGUGGGGAAUAUUGCACAAUGGGCGCAAGCCUGAUGCAGCCAUGCCGCGUGUGUGAAGAAGGCCUUCGGGUUGUAAAGCACUUUCAGUCGUGAGGAAGGUAGUGUAGUUAAUAGCUGCAUUAUUUGACGUUAGCGACAGAAGAAGCACCGGCUAACUCCGUGCCAGCAGCCGCGGUAAUACGGAGGGUGCGAGCGUUAAUCGGAAUUACUGGGCGUAAAGCGCAUGCAGGUGGUUUGUUAAGUCAGAUGUGAAAGCCCGGGGC